GGGGGGGGGGUGGCCGGGCGCCGCUUCCGCUUCCGGUGCGCCGUUUGCGAGGGGAAGCGCUUCUCUAGGCAGCUCGGUGAAGGGCUCUACUGUCCGUCCCCGAGUGUCCCGGGUGUCUCCGUCUCCUCUGUGUCUUGGAGACGCUCCCUGGACAGGAUACUGGCCGGCUGGCACCCCAGGAACAAUAAGUGGCUGCAGGAAUCCCCGCAGUGCUCCCGUCCCCCAAAUCUCGGGCCAGUCCGGGACGGGGACCCGUGAAUUCACCACGAUCUGAGACUGCCACCGGUCACCUUCUGCGUGAGGAUCCACUGGUCGGCUCUUAACGCGAGGGUUCCGGGCUUAAAGGUCAUCCCGCUUGCUCUCGCUACCCCUCUAGCCCUGAAGAUCCCUGUGUACAGCGCAACUCAUGGUCACAGGCAGAGCCAACUCCGCGACAGCCUCCAAGCACUGAGGACAGCCGUCCUCGUAAAAAAUAGUUCCUGUGUUUUUGUACCAAGCUUUCCAUCCAGCUCAUGAAUACCGUCAUUAUGCUCGAGGACAUUUCUCUAAGACGUAUUUUCCUCUCCCACGGUCUCCUUCCUGGCCCAGGGGAGGGAAGGUGUCACAGCUUGGUCACUUAGCCAGAUUAUCUGGCUGGGGCUGAGGCAUGAGACUGCCAGUGAGGAUGUUCUGGAUGGGAGUUCGGAUCCUGGCAGCUGGAGAAGCUGGGCAGAGAGGCUGAUAGAUGUCCAGACUUCCUAGUCCCUCAUGCUCACCUUCCUGCCUCACCAUUGCAUUCCUGGGAUGCUCAAGUUUGUUCUUAGGUUGGUGACAUAUUUGUCACACACAUCCCAUGUUCUUGACCCAGCACCUUCCCGUUCCAUUUGCUUGCGAACCCAGUGUGUGUAGGUUCCAGGAAACCAAGCUGGAUAUGGCAAGUGUUGGGACUCCACCUUGCAGGGCAAGGAAGGGCUGGGAUCUGGAGAAAAGGACCCGGAUGGUCUCACAUCCUCUUUGGUCACUUGAGAAGCAGCUGAAGACUGGACUAAGUGUCCAGUCCUUGGGGUGUCCUCAAGCUGUUCCAGGGAUGCAAGUUUGGGCUGUGAAGAAGAAGCAGUCAUUGGCAGUGCCUGGCCAACCAGAUAUGUAGGGCAGAACUGCUGUUCAACUUUAAGGUCUUGUCCUUCACCGUGACCCUAACUGCUCCUGGGCAUCCGCAGUGGGCUCACUGAUUAUUGACAAUUGGUGCUGUGAGAUUCAGCACCAUGAGUUCAGCAGUGACCGUUGAUUCACAGGGCAGGUGGUAGAUGAGCCCACCCACCUGAGUUGUGAUCUGGGCUGCUGCAGUUCUGGGGAGAUCGGUGGCUUCUCCCAUUGUCAGACUCAGCAAGCACAUCAGCACAGACGCUGCCUCUUCCUUCCCCAAGGUAAUGUGGUCCCUAAUCAAGAAGGGGAACAGACUUCUGUCUUCAUUGGACACACAGGGACACUGAAGUCACUUAGUGCUGGAUCACCCUGAUCCAUGUCAUGGGAAACUCUACAACGAUCUACCCUGCCUCCAGAACAAAUGCCAUGCCCCAACAUCUGAAAGCACGUGAUGCAUUUGCCUGGGAGAACAUCUGUGCUCUCACAAAUUCAACCUUAGUGAGGGCUGGGACUCAAGGAGGUGAGGGUGCUGGCAUGCUGCUGUGCUUCAGCAGGCUUUUCUAGCAGAGAGAAACAGUGGGCUGUGUCUGACCUAACCCUGUGUACCCUUGGUGUGAUAGUAUCAGUGACAACUGCAUCUACUGUUCCUGCUCCUCGGGUAUACCGGCUGCUCAGGAAUGAUAUCAUUUCUGCUACACGGACAUCUGGGUUCUAUUCCCAUCUGCCUGGGAGUGACCUGGUGACCACUUUGUCUUGUCCUGUCACUGUGACAGUGAGGAUGGCUGGGAUGGGUAAGCAGGGAAUGAUUGGUGGGCUGCCCCCCUCUAUCCCACCAGCAGAGUGGCUUUAUCCUGGGGUCAGGAGUUAGCUGCCCAAGGCUGGCUACAGACAACUCAUUGCACAACAGACAGGCUAUGGCCCCUCAGGGCACACAUGCUAGGGUAGGAAGCCCCACCACCAGACCUAUGGUAAUUGCUGUACCUUUAAGGGUGCUGGGCUGCAGGGCCCCUGCCACCAUAAAUGGUGAGUGCUAAUCCCCAGCAGACAUCUGGACGUAAAUAUAAAGUGAGUUGGGCAGGUGUCCUCAACAUCUCUUUCUUGGCUUCCCCAGGGAUCAGCCUAGUCCUCGGGGAUAAAAGGCAAGAUCAUCUCCUUCUUGGAAGGAUUUCAGACCUUGGAGACUAGAAUCAAGGACAUGGUUCACAACUACACACACCCUUCUAGAAUGCAGUGGCUUCGGUUUCUGACCAGGAGCACAGAAUUUGAGAAGUAAACAAGGCUAUUGGGCUUCCUGUCCAACCCAGGCACUGGGGUAAGGCAGGGCCUCAAGAUGCAGUGAGCAGAAUUGAAGCCCCUUUUCCCCAAGACAAGGUGCAUUGGCUUGGAAGUCCCUUUGGCCUCUGCACGGAUGGUGCUAAGGGCAUAGAUACUGAACUGCUGUAUAACACCCCAGACCUCAUGCAGGUGAAUGGGUGACAAAGAGAGUCCCUGAACUGUGUGUGGGUAGGGCCCUCAGCUUAAGGCCUUGCUGUCUCUUCAGGCAUGCCUGGUGGCCUGCUUCAGCAGCUUGUGAUGGAGAUCUGCUCCAGCUAGAGCCCGGCUCUGCAGCCACAAAUGACACCCAGCCUGGGGUGAGCCUGUCAUCUCCUUUGGGAUUGCUGGAGGUCUCUGAGGCAGUGACUCCUAAUGGGCCCUCUCUAAACAACCCCUCAGGUCACUGCUCCUACCCAGCCUACCAGGACCUGGAAACCCAACCCACCGGUUUUCUUGUAUUUCCCACUGCCCCAGGCCUUGCAGGACAGAGAGGAUAAUGGGGUUAGGAGUUAGGCAUCAGUUCCCCAAAGCCCUACAGGAUAACCACUGGUCCCCUUCCUCCCAGGGUGUCUUUGUACAGAUUCUUCACAGGAACCUCCAGGUAACCUUCAGCCAAGUCAUGUGGGGGUGGACUAGCCAGUGCCCCUGGUGCUAGAGCAGGGAGCCUAUAGCUCUGCAAGUCCCUGUGCUGUGCUAUGCUCAGAGAGUAAGAGACCCAUGGAGCUAAGGGUAGAGCCAGAGCCGGAGGAGGGCGCACCCCCCAGGGACACAUCCUGCCUCUCUUCUGCCAACCUCCCUAUACCUCUGCUGCUACCCUUGAAGCAGAGUAGCCAAGGUGAACAUUCUCUAUCAGGAGCUUAAAUACCAUAUUGAGGAUGAAGCAACAGUAUACUCUGAGUGGUUAGAGAGACACAGGACGAGGGCUGGGUAGAGGCAGUCCCCUCCACAUUCCUGUGUAUAGGUGGGAUACAGGAGGCCCUGCUGGACUUGCUGCCCGUCUGCCCACAGGUUCCACAGCCGUUGUGCCAUGGGCAGCCUCUGGAGACUGUGGUUCAGCUCAUCUGUCUCGUCCCUGCUGGAGCUGCUACUGGAUGUCAUUGCCCUUGCCCGGCUGCUACUGGGUUUUCACUGGCUCUGCUGGGGGGAGAGCUGUCCUAGCUGGGAGUCAAUACUGCUUCAGGGCAGUCCCACACCAUAUCAGAGGCCAGCCAGAGACCUCCACCCCAAGCUUCAGGGGAUGAUGCCAGAGGCCCAGAAGGAGAUAACCCCACAGAGAUGCUCUCAGGGUCUUUGGGAGAAGUUUCAGUGUAAGAAUUCGGGUAAAUUCCAGGCCCUUGAGAUUUUGUUUGUUUUUCGAGAGACGGUUUCUCUGUAGCCCUAGCUAUCCUGAUACUUGCUCCUCCGUAUAGACCAAGCUGGCCUCGAACCCUAGAUCCACCUGCCUCUGCCUCCCAAGUGCUAGGAUUAAAGGAAUGUGCCACCACUGCCUGACUGUUUGAUUUUUGAGACAGAGUUUCUCUGUGUAGUCCUGGAAUGAGAUAUGUAGACCAGACUGGCCUCAAACUCCGAGAUUCCCCUACCUCUGCCCCCCAAGUUCUGGGAUUAAAGGCAUGCACCACCAUCCCUGGCACUAUCUUGAGAUCUUGACAGCUAUCUGAUCCCUCGGUCUAAUGUUGGGAGCUGUAGUAGCAGUGAGCUCCCUAGUUGCCCAGAGUGUACCAGACUAGCCAUUUGAGGAUCCAGAAAGCAGUACCAUCUGACCCAU